GGUACCUGCAGAAGAAGCGCCGGCUAACUACGUGCCAGCAGCCGCGGUAAUACGUAGGGCGCAAGCGUUGUCCGGAAUUAUUGGGCGUAAAGAGCUCGUAGGCGGUUUGUCGCGUCUGCUGUGAAAGCCCGGGGCUCAACCCCGGGUCUGCAGUGGGUACGGGCAGACUAGAGUGCAGUAGGGGAGACUGGAAUUCCUGGUGUAGCGGUGAAAUGCGCAGAUAUCAGGAGGAACACCGAUGGCGAAGGCAGGUCUCUGGGCUGUUACUGACGCUGAGGAGCGAAAGCAUGGGGAGCGAACAGGAUUAGAUACCCUGGUAGUCCAUGCCGUAAACGUUGGGCACUAGGUGUGGGGGACAUUCCACGUUCUCCGCGCCGUAGCUAACGCAUUAAGUGCCCCGCCUGGGGAGUACGGCCGCAAGGCUAAAACUCAAAGGAAUUGACGGGGGCCCGCACAAGCGGCGGAGCAUGCGGAUUAAUUCGAUGCAACGCGAAGAACCUUACCAAGGCUUGACAUCCACCGGACCGCACUGGAGACAGUGCUUCCCUUCGGGGCUGGUGGACAGGUGGUGCAUGGUUGUCGUCAGCUCGUGUCGUGAGAUGUUGGGUUAAGUCCCGCAACGAGCGCAACCCUCGUUCUAUGUUGCCAGCACGUGAUGGUGGGGACUCAUAGGAGACUGCCGGGGUCAACUCGGAGGAAGGUGGGGAUGACGUCAAAUCAUCAUGCCCCUUAUGUCUUGGGCUUCACGCAUGCUACAAUGGCCGGUACAAAGGGUUGCGA
rnacentral:rRNA from 1 species